rnacentral:rRNA from 1 species
GAUGAACGCUGGCGGCGUGCCUAAUACAUGCAAGUCGAGCGAACGGACGAGAAGCUUGCUUCUCUAAUGUUAGCGGCGGACGGGUGAGUAACACGUGGAUAACCUACCUAUAAGACUGGGAUAACUUCGGGAAACCGUAGCUAAUACCGGAUAAUAUUUUGAACCGCAUGGUUCAAAAGUGAAAGACGGUAUUGCUGUCACUUAUAGAUGGAUCCGCGCUGCAUUAGCUAGUUGGGAAGGUAACGGCUUACCAAGGCAACGAAGCAUAGCCGACCUGAGAGGGUGACCGGCCACACUGGAACUGAGCCACGGUCCAGACCCCUACGGGAGGCAGCGGUAGGGAAUCUUCCGCAAGGGGCGAAAGCCUGACGGAGCAACGCCGCGUGAGUGAUGAAGGUCUUCGGAUCGUAAAACUCUGUUAUUAGGGAAGAACAUAUGUGUAAGUAACUGUGCACAUCUUGACGGUACCUAAUCAGAAAGCCACGGCUAACUACGUG